rnacentral:rRNA from 1 species
UACGGGGGGGGCAAGCGUUGUUCGGAAUUACUGGGCGUAAAGGGUUCGUAGGUGGCUUGCUAAGUCAGACGUGAAAUCCCUCGGCUUAACCGGGGAACUGCGUCCGAUACUGGUUGGCUUGAGUUUGGGAGAGGGAUGCGGAAUUCCAGGUGUAGCGGUGAAAUGCGUAGAUAUCUGGAGGAAUACCGGUGGCGAAGGCGGCAUCCUGGACCGGCAUUGACGCUGAGGAGCGAAAGCCAGGGGAGCAAAGCGGG